rnacentral:rRNA from 1 species
UACGGAGGAUCCGAGCGUUAUCCGGAUUUAUUGGGUUUAAAGGGUGCGUAGGUGGCCUGUUAAGUCAGGGGUGAAAGACGGUAGCUCAACUAUCACAGUGCCCUUGAUACUGAUGGGCUUGAAUGAACUAGAGGUAGGCGGAAUGUGACAAGUAGCGGUGAAAUGCAUAGAUAUGUCACAGAACACCAAUUGCGAAGGCAGCUUACUAUGGUUUUAUUGACACUGAGGCACGAAAGCGUGGGGAUCAAACAGG